GAGUUUGAUCCUGGCUCAGAUUGAGCGCUGGCGGCAUGCCUUACACAUGCAAGUCGAACGGCAGGCACGGGAGCUUGCUCCUGGUGGCGAGUGGCGAACGGGUGAGUAAUGCAUCGGAACGUAUCCUGGAGUGGGGGAUAACGUAGCGAAAGUUACGCUAAUACCGCAUAUUCUGUGGAGCAGGAAAGCGGGGGACCUUCGGGCCUCGCGCUCUUGGAGCGGCCGAUGUCGGAUUA
rnacentral:rRNA from 1 species